rnacentral:rRNA from 1 species
GGCAUACUGCUCAGUAACACGUAGCUAACCUAACCUCAAGACGGAAAUAACCCCGGGAAACUGGGGUCAAUGUCCGAUAGAUGUGAAUUCCUGGAAUGGUAUCACAUCCAAAUGUCAGUACACCAUGUUGUACGAACGCUUGAGGAUGGGGCUGCGGCCGAUCAGGCUGUUGGUGGGGUAAUGGCCCACCAAACCUUUGACCGGUAUGGGCCAUGAGAGUGGUAGCCCAGAGAUGGACACUGAGACAAGGGUCCAGGCCCUACGGGGCGCAGCCGGUACGAAACCUCCACAAUGCACGCAAGUGCGAUGGGGUUAUCUCGAGUGCUACCUGAAGAAGGUAGCUUUUCCAUGGUCUAAAUAGCCGUGGGAAUAAGGGGGGGGCAAGACUGGUGUCAGCCGCCGCGGUAACACCAGCCCCCCGAGUGGUAGGGAUGUUUAUUUGGCCUAAAGCGUCCGUAGCCGGCUAGGUAAAUUUCUCGUUAAAUCCAACGUCCUAAGCGUUGGGCUGCGAAAAAGACUGCCAAGCUAGGGGGUGGGAGAGGUCAGCGGUAUUCCUGGGGUAGGGGCGAAAUCCAUUGAACCCAGGAGGACCACCAGUGGCGAAGGCUGCUGACUAGAACACGCCUGACGGUGAGGGACGAAAGCUGGGGUAGCGAAUCGGAUUAGAUACCCGAGUAGUCCCAGCUGUAAACGAUGCAGACUAGGUGUUGGGUUGGCCACGCGCCGACUCAGUGCCACAGGGAAGCCAUUAAGUCUGCCGCCUGGGAAGUACGGCCGCAAGGCUGAAACUUAAAGGAAUUGGCGGGGGAGCACCACCAGGCGUGAAGCCUGCGGUUUGAUUGGAGUCAACGCCGGGAACCUUACCGGGAGCGACAGCAGAGUGAAGGCCAGGCUAAAGGUCUUGCCAGACGAGCUGAGAGGAGGUGCAUGGCCGUCGCCAGUUCGUGCCGUGAGGUGUCCUCUUAAGUGAGGUAACGAACGAGACCCGCGCCGCAUGUUGCUAACAAGUCCUAAAGGGAUGUUGAGCACUCUUGCGGGACCGCAGCCGACAAGGCUGAGGAAGGUGCGGGCAACGGCAGGUCAGUAUGCCCCGAAUCUCCCGGGCCACACGCGGGCUGCAAUGGUAGGGACAGAGGGCUGCAACCCCGAAAGGGGAAGCCAAUCCCUAAACUCUACCUCAGUUGGGAUUGAGGGCUGCAACCC